GGCAAUAUAGCUCAGCUGGUAGAGUGUUUGCCUUGCAUGCAAAAGGCCCUGGGUUUGAUCCCCAGAAUCACCA
rnacentral:tRNA from 1 species